UGAGGUGAGAGACUUUGGUGGCGGUACAGUUUUAAAAAACUUUAAUUUCAAAUGAUGAUUGAUCUAGUACCGAAAUUUAAAACAUUGUUUUCCCUUAUCUUCAUCCUUUUUAUCCUCGCCAGAAAAACCUAGCUCAAUUUCUCUGUUGCUUCUUACUCGGAUCACCCAACCUUAGAAAAAAGAGGGCGUUUUGCAGUUCGUGGUUUUGGCGGUGGCGAGAAUCUGGACCUCUGACUCAGGGAGAGUUUCUUCCCCUUCCGCCGUGGCACGAGCUCGCGUUGCUAGGAGAGAGACUUUCUCCUCCUCCUCUGGUUGUGGGUUGUUUCGUAGGAGAGAGGCGAACUCUGGCGGCAACAGCACUACACUAGCGUGACAAUGGCACGGCGAGGGCGCGACCUCUUCUCUGUUCGGUUCAUCCGCUAAAAGGAGAAGUAUUGUUCUUCGUGUUGUUUUCUGAUUUGGGGUUGUGGUUUAUGCAGGAAAUUCUCUUCUUCUUCCCAAAAUUCUUUCUGGGAUCAAUUUGGGUGAUUCCUGUUCUUGGGGUUUUGUCGCUUUUCUGCAUCUUGAUGGUCGUGAACUGGGGGUGUGGUUCGCAGGUUGUUGUUCUGAUCUUAAGGAUCAGCUUACGAUGGUGGACACGACGUAGACUUGCAAAGAGACCAAAACAUUAAUAAAAGUAAAAAUAAUAAUAAUAAAAAUUAAAAUAAAUUUUAUAUUUCUUUUAAUCAAAAUUUCCUAAUUAAAAUGUUGUGUUUUGAUUAAAUUAAAGUUUUUUAAAACUAUAAAUAAAAAUAAUUCAUCUAAGUUUAUCACGUCACAAUUUUUAA
rnacentral:sRNA from 1 species